AACGAACGCUGGCGGCAGGCCUAACACAUGCAAGUCGAGCGCCCGUAGCAAUACGGGAGCGGCAGACGGGUGAGUAACACGUGGGAACGUGCCCAAAGGUACGGAACAACUCCGGGAAACUGGAGCUAAUACCGUAUGUGCCCGAAAGGGGAAAGAUUUAUCGCCUUUGGAUCGGCCCGCGUCUGAUUAGCUAGUUGGUGAGGUAAUGGCUCACCAAGGCGACGAUCAGUAGCUGGUCUGAGAGGAUGAUCAGCCACACUGGGACUGAGACACGGCCCAGACUCCUACGGGAGGCAGCAGUGGGGAAUAUUGGACAAUGGGCGCAAGCCUGAUCCAGCCAUGCCGCGUGAGUGAUGAAGGCCCUAGGGUUGUAAAGCUCUUUCGGCGGGGACGAUAAUGACGGUACCCGCAGAAGAAGCCCCGGCUAACUUCGUGCCAGCCGCCGCAGU
rnacentral:rRNA from 1 species